GACGUAGGAGGCGAGCGUUGUCCGGAUUCAUUGGGCGUAAAGCGCGUGUAGGCGGUCUGUCGCGUCUGCUGUGAAAAUCCGGGGCUCAACCCCGGACUUGCAGUGGGUACGGGCAGACUAGAGUGUGGUAGGGGAGACUGGAAUUCCUGGUGUAGCGGUGAAAUGCGCAGAUAUCAGGAGGAACACCGAUGGCGAAGGCAGGUCUCUGGGCCACUACUGACGCUGAGAAGCGAAAGCAUGGGGAGCGAACAGG
rnacentral:rRNA from 1 species